rnacentral:rRNA from 1 species
AUGGAUGCGGAGCACUUCGAGACGCCCGACCUCGUCCGGCACGCCAAUGUCGAUCUCACGAUCGAACCUCCCGAAGCGCCUCAAGGCGGGGUCGAUGCUGUUGGGACGGUUUGUGGCGCCCAUGACAAUGACGUGCGCGCGGGCUUUCAUGCCGUCCAUCAGAGUCAGCAGCUGGGAGACGAUGCGCCUCUCAACCUCGCCGUGAGUCUUCUCCCUGUUAGGAGCGAUGGAGUCGAUCUCGUCGAUGAAGAUGAUGGAGGGCGCGUUCUUCUCGGCCUCCUCGAAGGCCUUCCUCAGGUUGCUCUCGCUCUCUCCGGCCAUCUUGGACAUUAUCUCCGGGCCGUUGAUGAGGAAGAAGAAGGCCCCGGUCUCGUUGGCCACCGCACGGGCGAUCAGAGUCUUGCCCGACCCGGGAGGGCCGUAGAGGAGGAUGCCCCUGUGAGGCUUGACGCCAAUGGACUUGAAAAGCUGCGGAUGCCUGAGUGGCAACUCGACGAGCUCCCUGAUCAGAGUCAACGGUUUCCCCAUGCCACCCACGUCGUCGUAGCCGACAUCGUCCAGCCUCUCCUCGUCCUCCCGCUUGACGGGCUCGCCCUCGCAGAAUAUCUCCGUGUCGGGCGCCACGACGCAGUAGUCCGCCGCGGGGUCGAUCUCCAUGACCUUGAACUCGACGCUCCGCAUGCUGCCGCGCACGAGGAAGAGGUCGCCCUUGUGGACCGGGCGGAAGGCGUCCACGAAGUAGGGCUUGAGGUAGGCGUCGAAGAGGUUGCCCGUGAUGCCCUCGACGGUGUCGUCCAGAGGGAGGAUGUGCACGCGCUUGCCGAACUUGGCGUCGUGGCACAGGUGCACGGACACGACGUCGGCGAUGCGCACGCGCAGGUUGGAGCGGGCCACCUUGUUGAUCCUGAGCUUGUGCCCCUCGCAGGUGUCGUCGGGCAGUGCCAUGCAGACCGUGUUGUGGCUGCGUUUGCCCUUGAGCAGCACGAUGUCGCCCUGGAAUAUGGCGAGCUUCUCCAUUGUGGCCGGGUGGAGGUUGCACACGGAGUUGUCGUCGUUGGUGGCGGCCUCCUCCACCACCAGCCGGUUCGCCGCCUUCUUCGACGCCGCCGUGCUAGCCAUCGCCUUCAACUCUCGUUGGUCGAUGGACUUGCUGCGUCUCUGGUGUAUUACUACUCUCGUUGGAUGUUGUCGAGCGCUGAUUUGCGUUGGUGUUGUGGUGAGCUGGAGACGUGGGGUUCGCACCCUUUAUUGAAGGCACGGCCGACUCGGGUUGGAAGGCCGUGA